GGCGGAAGCGGGGGGGCGGGCCAGGCCGGGGCGGGGCCGCAAGCGGCAUGGAGGAGGCGGAGGCCGCGGCUACCCGGGCCGAACAGUGAGGGCCCGAGCGGGGCCCGAGCGGGGCCCGGGGCCCCUAAGCCAUUCCUGAAGCCAUGGGCUGGCCAGGACAUUGGUGACCCGCCAAUCCGGCAUGGACGACUGGAAGCCCAGCCCCCUCAUCAAGCCCUUUGGGGCUCGGAAGAAGCGGAGCUGGUACCUUACCUGGAAGUAUAAACUGACAAACCAGCGGGCCCUGCGGAGAUUCUGUCAGACAGGGGCCGUGGUUUUCCUGCUGGUGACUGUCAUUGUCAAUAUCAAGUUGAUCCUGGACACUCGGCGAGCCAUCAGCGAAGCCAAUGAAGACCCAGAGCCAGAGCAAGACUAUGAUGAGGUCCUAGGCCGCCUGGAGCCCCCACGGCGCAGAGGCAGCGGUCCCCGGCGGGUCCUGGACGUAGAGGUGUAUUCAAGUCGCAGCAAAGUAUAUGUGGCAGUGGAUGGCACCACGGUGCUUGAGGAUGAGGCCCGGGAGCAAGGCCGGGGCAUCCAUGUCAUUGUCCUCAACCAGGCCACGGGCCACGUGAUGGCAAAACGUGUGUUUGACACGUACUCACCUCAUGAGGAUGAGGCCAUGGUGCUGUUCCUCAACAUGGUAGCACCCGGCCGAGUGCUCAUCUGCACUGUCAAGGACGAGGGCUCCUUCCACCUCAAGGACACAGCCAAGGCUCUGCUGAGGAGCCUGGGCAGCCAGGCUGGCCCUGCCCUGGGCUGGAGGGACACAUGGGCCUUCGUGGGACGAAAAGGAGGUCCUGUCCUCGGGGAGAAACAUUCUAAGUCACCUGCCCUCUCCUCCUGGGGGGACCCAGUCCUGCUGAAGACAGAUGUGCCGUUGAGCUCAGCAGAAGAGGCAGAGUGCCACUGGGCAGACACAGAGCUGAACCGUCGCCGCCGGCGCUUCUGCAGCAAAGUUGAGGGCUAUGGAAGUGUAUGCAGCUGCAAGGACCCCACACCCAUUGAGUUCAGCCCUGACCCGCUCCCAGACAACAAGGUCCUCAAUGUGCCUGUGGCUGUCAUUGCAGGGAACCGACCCAAUUACCUGUACAGGAUGCUGCGCUCUCUGCUUUCAGCCCAGGGGGUGUCUCCUCAGAUGAUAACAGUUUUCAUCGAUGGCUACUAUGAGGAACCCAUGGAUGUGGUGGCACUGUUUGGUCUGAGGGGCAUCCAGCAUACUCCCAUCAGCAUCAAGAAUGCCCGCGUGUCUCAGCACUACAAGGCCAGCCUCACUGCCACUUUCAACCUGUUUCCAGAGGCCAAGUUUGCUGUGGUUCUGGAAGAGGACCUGGACAUUGCUGUGGAUUUUUUCAGUUUCCUGAGCCAAUCCAUCCACCUGCUGGAGGAGGAUGACAGCCUGUACUGCAUCUCUGCUUGGAAUGACCAGGGGUAUGAACACACGGCUGAGGACCCAGCACUGCUGUACCGUGUGGAGACCAUGCCUGGUCUGGGCUGGGUGCUCAGGAGGUCCUUGUACAAGGAGGAGCUUGAGCCCAAGUGGCCCACACCGGAAAAGCUCUGGGAUUGGGACAUGUGGAUGCGGAUGCCUGAACAACGCCGGGGUCGAGAGUGCAUCAUCCCUGACGUUUCCCGAUCCUACCACUUUGGCAUCGUCGGCCUCAACAUGAACGGCUACUUUCAUGAGGCCUACUUCAAGAAGCACAAGUUCAACACGGUUCCAGGUGUCCAGCUCAGGAAUGUGGACAGCCCUGCUGCUACAGAUUCCCAUGUGACCCCUUGCCCUGCUCAGUGCUACCCAUGGGACCUGAGGGCCUGCCCACUCCCCUGACCCAUUUCUCCCUCCUCUUCAGUCUGAAAAAAGAAGCUUAUGAAGUGGAAGUUCACAGGCUGCUCAGUGAGGCUGAGGUUCUGGACCACAGCAAGAACCCUUGUGAAGACUCUUUCCUGCCAGACACAGAGGGCCACACCUACGUGGCCUUUAUUCGAAUGGAGAAAGAUGAUGACUUCACCACCUGGACCCAGCUUGCCAAGUGCCUCCAUAUCUGGGACCUGGAUGUGCGUGGCAACCACCGGGGCCUAUGGAGAUUGUUUCGGAAGAAGAACCACUUCCUGGUGGUGGGGGUCCCGUCUUCCCCCUACUCAGUGAAGAAGCCACCCUCAGUCACCCCAAUUUUCCUGGAGCCACCCCCAAAAGAGGAGGGAGCCCCAGGAGCCGCAGAACAGACAUGAGACCUCCUCCAGGACCCUGUGGGGCUGGGUACUGUGUACCCCCAGGCGGGCUAGCCCUUCCCUCCAUCCUGUAGGAUUUUGUAGAUGCUGGUAGGGGCUGGGGCUACCUUGUUUUUAACAUGAGACUUAAUUACUAACUCCGAGGGGAGGGUUCCCCUGCUCCAACACCCUGUUCCUGAGUUAAAGGUCUAUUUAUUUACUUCCUUGUUGGAGAAGGGCAGGAGAGUACCUGGGAAUCAUUGCGAUCCCUAGCAGCUCAUCCUGCCCUUUGAAUACCCUCACUUUCCAGGCCUGGCUCAGAAUCUAACCUAUUUAUUGACUGUCCUGUGGGCCUUGAAAACAGGCCGAACCUGGAGGGCCUGGAUUUCUUUUUGGGCAGGAAUGCUGCCCUGAGGGUGGGGCUGGCUCUUACUCAGGAAACUGCUGUGCCCAACCCAUGGACAGGCCCAACUGGGGCCCACAUGCUGACACAGACUCACUCAGACACCCUUAGACACUGGACCAGGCCUCCUCUCAGCAUCCUCUUUGUCCAGCUUUCCAAAGCUGGAUAAGUUGAUCAUUGAUUAAAAAAGGAGAAGCCCUCUGGGGA